AAUACUGGAGAAUUUUAGAGCAGGAGUUUUGGCGCGCGUAUACGGUCUGAUUAUUUUUUAAUUUAUUUGCGUCUCUUUUGUAAGUUUAUAAUCUGUUUAUCUUUUGUGUGUAUUAGUUUGUUUAUUUGUUUUGAAAAAUGGAUGACGUAGCUGUGGGCCAUCUUUUGAAUUCACCCCCUAAAAAACGAGCUUGUAAGAAACAUUUUACGGUUUCUGAAAAGGAGGCAAUUAUAAAGUAUGUGAAGUAAAUCAUCCAGGUUAUAGCAAGACACAAAAAGUAUCUUUUACAGCUGUUGCAGCAGGUGUUUCCAAAAGGAGUAUCUAUAAUAUAGUCAAAAGUUAUGAAAAUACUCAUACCUUUCAACCACCAACAAAGUAUCAUAGGGCGAGAGCUAUUUUGGAUAACAUUGAUGACAAACAACUUUUCGACACUUACUCAGGGAAAUUGGUUUUCGCUUUGUAAAAGUCGAAAUAGUAUGCUUAAAGAAAGGGAUGAAAUAAUAUGCUGGAGGCGACGUUAUUUACGAUCCAUAAGAAAGGCUCGACAAGAAAAUAGAAACAUUUAUUAUUUAGAUGAAACAUGGGUGAACGCGGGUCACACGGUUUCCAAAGUAUGGACAGAUACAACCGUAACCACCGCUAGAAACGCUUUUAUCAAUGGAUUGUCCACAGGGCUAAAAGCUCCGGCAGGAAAGGGGAAACGGUUGAUAGUUCUGCAUAUUGGGUCAGAAGAUGGCUUUGUUCAGGGUGAUCAACUAGUUUUAGAAUCAAAAUAGAAGAAAGAUUAUCACGAGGAGAUGAAUGCUCAAGUUUUUGAAGAGUGGUUCGAAAAAAUUUUACCUAGCUUAGAAAAUGGCUGUGUUAUUGUGUUGGAUAACGCAUCCUACCAUAACCGAAAGCUUGACAGAACCCCGACAUCUGCCACAAAGAAAGGGGAUAUUCAAAACUGGUAAAUGACCAAACAAAUUCAUUAUGAACAAGAUAUGAUAAAGGCAGAACUUUUGAAAUUAGUAAAAGAAAUCCGACACGGAGACACAUUUGUAGUGGACGAAAUGGCUAAAGCUACCGGCCGAACGGUCUUAAGAUUGCCACCAUAUCAUUGCGAGUUGAACCCAAUCGAAUUGAUAUAUGCGCAGAUUAAGGGUGAAGUAGCUCGGAAACAUGUCACUUUUAAAUUUGCAGACCUUAAACCACUUUUUGAUCAAGCAGUGUAAAAUGUCAAUCCACAAAAUUGGAAAAAUGCUGUUGCUCACAUUAUCAAAGUAGAAGAACGCAUGUGGACUCUGGAUGAUUUAAUGGAAAUUCAGGUGGAACCAUUUAUUAUAAAUGUUGGUGAAGAUGACGAUACAACUUCUUCAGAUUCUGAGAAAGAUUAGUUUUUUAAAGGCCUGUGUACCUAACUGUGUUUUUUUUUUGAAAUAUGAAAUUUUGAUUUAUUAAAAAUGUUAACGCCCUUUUUUUUAGAGAGAAAGCAUUUUCAAACUUAUGUUGAUAAUUAGUUUAUUUUUUACAUAUAUUUUUGUAAAGAAUCCACCCUUAAAAUU